rnacentral:sRNA from 1 species
AGAGGAGCAUCAUGAAGAACUGGCAGCAGCGCUGGUUUGUGCUGCGUGGGGAUCAGCUUUUCUACUACAAGGACAAAGAUGAGAUCAAGCCCCAGGAGAAUAAGUGAGGGAAGCUCAGUAAUAAGGAGCCAUAGAAGAUUGAUUUAAAGUUUGAUGUGAUUGAGUAAAAGCUUGAGACUGGUGGGGAGAAAGUCAAGAUGGAUGGGAAAGCACAUGCACUUCUAGGAGUGGAACAUUAAUAUUGGACAGUCGGAAACCAGAAAUCUUUAAGAAAGAGGAAACCUCAGGGGAAGAAAGAGAGGCCAUCCUAUCCCAUAGCUUGAAGGUCACAGGAAUAUUUCAGCCUGCAGGGAAUGUUCAUUUCCCAGCCCAUUGUUUACCAAACUUGCACGUCAAAAACAAAAACAAGAAACAAAAUGUUGCUUUCAUGAA